rnacentral:guide_RNA from 1 species
UAUAAACAAACACAAUAUGAGAAGACAAAGUGUA